CGGCAACAGCUCAAAUUUGAAAUCUGGCCCUCGGGUCCGAAUUGUAAUUUGUAGAGGAUGCUUCGGGAGCGGUCCCCAUCUAAGUGCCCUGGAACGGGACGUCAUAGAGGGUGAGAAUCCCGUAUGGGAUGGGGUGUCCGCGCCCAUGUGAAGCUCCUUCGAC
rnacentral:rRNA from 1 species